GAUGAAGAACGCAGCGAAAUGCGAUAAGUAAUGUGAAUUGCAGAAUUCAGUGAAUCAUCGAAUCUUUGAACGCACAUUGCGCCCCUUGGUAUUCCGAUGGGCAUGCCUGUUCGAGCGUCAUUAUAACCCCUCAAGCUCAGCUUGGUGUUGGGGCCUGCUGCACUGGCAGCCCUUAAAAUCAGUGGCGGCGCCAUCUGGCUCUAAGCGUAGUAAUUCUUCUCGCUAUGGAGUCCUGGUGGAUGCUUGCCAUCAACCCCCAAUUUUUCUAUGGUUGACCUCGGAUCAGGUAGGGAUACCCGCUGAACUUAAGCAUAUCAAUAAGCGGAGGA
rnacentral:misc_RNA from 1 species